rnacentral:miRNA from 1 species
AAAUGCCAACCAUUCAUCAUGA